GUGUUGUCUUAAACAAGACAAAUUCAAUAUUUAUUAUCCUUUAAAAAAAGGCGCAGUUUUCUGCGCCUUUUUU
rnacentral:sRNA from 1 species